rnacentral:rRNA from 1 species
GACGAACGCUGGCGGCGUGCUUAACACAUGCAAGUCGAACGGAGAUUAUUAAUGAAGCUUGCGAUUUAAUAAUCUUAGUGGCGGACGGGUGAGUAACGCGUGGGCAACCUACCCAUAAGAGGGGGAUAACAGCUGGAAACGGCUGCUAAUACCGCAUAAACUUUUUAAGACACAUGUUUUAAAAAGGAAAGGUGGCGCAAGCUAUCGCUUAUGGAUGGGCCCGCGUCUGAUUAGCUAGUUGGUGGGGUAACGGCCUACCAAGGCAACGAUCAGUAGCCGGCCUGAGAGGGUGGACGGCCACACUGGGACUGAGACACGGCCCAGACUCCUACGGGAGGCAGCAGUGGGGAAUAUUGCGCAAUGGGGGAAACCCUGACGCAGCGACGCCGCGUGAGCGAAGAAGGCCUUAGGGUUGUAAAGCUCUGUUCUAUGGGACGAAGUCCUUGACUGUGAAUAAUGGUCAAGGUUGACGGUACCAUAGGAGGAAGCCCCGGCUAACUACGUGCCAGCAGCCGAC